rnacentral:tRNA from 2 species
AGGGCUGUAGCUCAGUUGGUAGAGCACCUCGUUUACACGAGAAGGUCUACGGUUCGAGUCCGUAUAGCCCUA